GACAGAGGCCUCAAGCGUUAGGCGGAAUCACUGGGCUUAAAGCGUGUGUAGGCGGAUCGUUAAGUGUCUUGUGAAAUCCCACGGCUCACCCGUGGAACUGCUGGGCAUACUGGCGAUCUUGGGCCACUCAGGGGCAACCGGAACAAGCGGUGGAGCGGUGAAAUGCGUAGAUAUCGCUUGGAACGCCAAAGGUGAAGACAGGUUGCUGGGGGUGUGCCGACGCUGAGACGCGAAAGCCAGGGGAGCAAACGGG
rnacentral:rRNA from 1 species